rnacentral:sRNA from 1 species
GCCAGGCAUGGUGGCGUGUGCCUGUAAUCCCAGCUAUUCAGGAGGCUGAGGCAGGAGAAUUGCUUGAACCUAGGAGGCAGAGGUUGCAGUGAGCUGAGAUCGUGCCACUGCACUCCAGCCUGGGUGACAGAGUGAGACUCUGUCUCAA